rnacentral:rRNA from 1 species
AUACACAUCUGCGAGACCACGAGACACAUGGCAAUCACGUAGUGGCGGACGGGUGAGUAACGCGUACAGACCUUGCCUCACAGGUAGGGACAACAUUUGGAAACGAAUGCUAAUACCUAAUACUGUUUGAUAGCUUUGCUUCCCAUUAGCUAGUUGGAGCGGUAAAGGCUCACCAAGUCGAUUAUGGGUAGCCGGCCUGAGAGGGUGAUCGGCCACAAGGUGACUGAGAAACUGUCCUUACUCCUACGGGAGGCAGCAGUGGGGAAUAUUGGACAAUGGACCAAAGGUGGAUCCAGCAAUUCUGUGUGCAAGAGGAAGUUUUCGGAAUGUAAAGUGCUGUCAGUUGGGAAGCGGUACCAACAGAAGAAGUGACGGCUAAAUACGUGCCAGCAGCCGCGGUAAUAC